rnacentral:ncRNA from 1 species
GUGUUGCAUGAAAGGAGAGAAGUUUAGCACUCCCCUUGACAAGGCUGGAAGAGGCCCUCGGACCUAAUAACACACAUAGGCACAAGGUGAAGGCAUGGUGAAGGCAUUGCCACCUACUCCACCUACUCCGUGGCAUCGAACCAUUGUUUUUA